UAUGGAUAUAAGAUGUUGAAUAUGGAAUUGUUAUGAGAAUCUGGAACUUGGAACUUUAAACUGGAAAUAAAAGCUUCGGAUCAUCACUACUUACAUGUGUAAUGCCAUCGGGGUGGAGGAACUUUCCCAGGUAGUGAAUGGCCGUGGAAGAAAGAAGAUACAGAAUCAAGCCCUAAACCACCCAGAAAUUUACAGAAUAGAGGAGAAAAAGCUAGUGAAGGAGGCUGAAAAGAGAAAAACCAAUGAGAUAGAAGGAAAACAAGUGUGGCAGCCUAGAGGCCAGCUGAAUGUUUUGGGCAUAGGACACAGAUUAUGGUGUGGAGUGAUCCAGAUGGCUGAUUAUCAGUGUGAGAGGAAGCUUGGACCCAAGAAUAAUCCGUGAAUUCUGCAAAAAUGGAUCCGAAAUAAGGAACAAGGGGUAGAAGAAAUCAAGAGUAUUGAGGAGAAAGGAAUAGAAAAAAGAAGGAAAGGAAGUGGAAUGACAGGAAACAUGAAGACAGGAAGUAUAGUCAUUCUUCAGUUUCCACUGCAGAUGACAAAAUUUUCAGAUGUUCAAGUCUCUUAUGAUGCUGUAUUUACAUUUAAG
rnacentral:lncRNA from 1 species